GGGACCUGAUGCAGCCAUGCCGCGUGUGUGAAGAAGGCCUUCGGGUUGUAAAGCACUUUCAGUUGUGAGGAAAAGUUAGUAGUUAAUACCUGCUAGCCGUGACGUUAACAACAGAAGAAGCACCGGCUAACUCCGUGCCAGCAGCCGCGGUAAUACGGAGGGUGCGAGCGUUAAUCGGAAUUACUGGGCGUAAAGCGCACGCAGGCGGUUUGUUAAGCUAGAUGUGAAAGCCCCGGGCUCAACCUGGGAUGGUCAUUUAGAACUGGCAGACUAGAGUCUUGGAGAGGGGAGUGGAAUUCCAGGUGUAGCGGUGAAAUGCGUAGAUAUCUGGAGGAACAUCAGUGGCGAAGGCGACUCCCUGGCCAAAGACUGACGCUCAUGUGCGAAAGUGUGGGUAGCGAACAGGAUUAGAUACCCUGGUAGUCCACACCGUAAACGCUGUCUACUAGCUGUGUGUGCCUUUAAGGCGUGCGUAGCGAAGCUAACGCGCUAAGUAGACCGCCUGGGGAGUACGGCCGCAAGGUUAAAACUCAAUG
rnacentral:rRNA from 1 species